CGGUAGCACAGAGAGCUUGCUCUCGGGUGACGAGCGGCGGACGGGUGAGUAAUGUCUGGGAAACUGCCUGAUGGAGGGGGAUAACUACUGGAAACGGUAGCUAAUACCGCAUAACGUCGCAAGACCAAAGUGGGGGACCUUCGGGCCUCAUGCCAUCAGAUGUGCCCAGAUGGGAUUAGCUAGUAGGUGGGGUAACGGCUCACCUAGGCGACGAUCCCUAGCUGGUCUGAGAGGAUGACCAGCCACACUGGAACUGAGACACGGUCCAGACUCCUACGGGAGGCAGCAGUGGGGAAUAUUGCACAAUGGGCGCAAGCCUGAUGCAGCCAUGCCGCGUGUAUGAAGAAGGCCUUCGGGUUGUAAAGUACUUUCAGCGGGGAGGAAGGCGAUAAGGUUAAUAACCUUGUCGAUUGACGUUACCCGCAGAAGAAGCACCGGCUAACUCCGUGCCAGCAGCCGCGGUAAUACGGAGGGUGCAAGCGUUAAUCGGAAUUACUGGGCGUAAAGCGCACGCAGGCGGUCUGUCAAGUCGGAUGUGAAAUCCCCGGGCUCAACCUGGGAACU
rnacentral:rRNA from 1 species